rnacentral:rRNA from 1 species
GACGAACGCUGGCGGCGUGCUUAACACAUGCAAGUCGAACGGUGAAGCGCCUUCCUUUUUGGUGGGUGUGGAUGAGUGGCGAACGGGUGAGUAACACGUGAGUAACCUGCCCCCUUCUUCUGGAUAACCGCAUGAAAGUGUGGCUAAUACGGGAUAUUCUGGGUCUGUCGCAUGAUGGGUCUGGGAAAGAUAUUGUUUCGGUGGGGGAUGGGCUCGCGGCCUAUCAGCUUGUUGGUGGGGUGAUGGCCUACCAAGGCGGUGACGGGUAGCCAGCCUGAGAGGGUGGACGGUCACACUGGGACUGAGACACGGCCCAGACUCCUACGGGAGGCAGCAGUGGGGAAUAUUGCACAAUGGGCGCAAGCCUGAUGCAGCGACGCCGCGUGAGGGAUGGAGGCCUUCGGGUUGCGAACCUCUUUCGCCAGUGAAGCAGGCCUGCCUCGUUUGUGGGUGGGUUGACGGUAGCUGGAUAAGAAGCGCCGGCUAACUACGUG